ACCACAUCACGUUGACACUCCGGUUCCCAUACGAUCAUUGACGUUAAGCAACGUCGAGCCUAGCCAGUACCUAGAUGAGGGACCGUUUGGAAAUACCAGAUGUUGUAAG